UACGUAGGGUCCAAGCGUUAAUCGGAAUUACUGGGCGUAAAGCGCACGUAGGCGGAUUGUUAAGUCGGGGGUGAAAUCCUGGAGCUCAACUCCAGAACUGCCUUCGAUACUGGCGAUCUCGAGUUCGGGAGAGGUGAGUGGAACUGCGAGUGUAGAGGUGAAAUUCGUAGAUAUUCGCAAGAACACCAGUGGCGAAGGCGGCUCACUGGCCCGAUACUGACGCUGAGGUGCGAAAGCGUGGGGAGCAAACAGG
rnacentral:rRNA from 1 species